AUUGAACGCUGGCGGCAUGCUUUACACAUGCAAGUCGAACGGUAACAGGGAGCUCGCUCCGCUGACGAGUGGCGAAUGGGUGAGUAAUGCGUCGGAACGUGCCGAGUAGUGGGGGAUAACGCAUCGAAAGGUGUGCUAAUACCGCAUACGUACUGAGGUAGAAAGUGGGGGACCUUCGGGCCUCACGCUAUUCGAGCGGCCGACGUCUGAUUAGCUAGUUGGUGAGGUAAAGGCUCACCAAGGCGACGAUCAGUAGCGUGUCUGAGAGGAUGAUCCGCCACACUGGGACUGAGACACGGCCCAGACUCCUACGGGAGGCAGCAGUGGGGAAUUUUGGACAAUGGGCGCAAGCCUGAUCCAGCCAUGCCGCGUGUCUGAAGAAGGCCUUCGGGUUGUAAAGGACUUUUGUCCGGGAGCAAAUGCUGGUGGCUAACAUCCACCGGAGCUGAGAGUACCGGAAGAAUAAGCACCGGCUAACUACGUGCCAGCCGCCGCCGUAACAC
rnacentral:rRNA from 1 species